GUUGAACGCUGGCGGCGUGCCUAAUACAUGCAAGUCGAGCGAACGGACGAGAAGCUUGCUUCUCUGAUGUUAGCGGCGGACGGGUGAGUAACACGUGGAUAACCUACCUAUAAGACUGGGAUAACUUCGGGAAACCGGAGCUAAUACCGGAUAAUAUUUUGAACCGCAUGGUUCAAAAGUGAAAGACGGUCUUGCUGUCACUUAUAGAUGGAUCCGCGCUGCAUUAGCUAGUUGGUAAGGUAACGGCUUACCAAGGCAACGAUGCAUAGCCGACCUGAGAGGGUGAUCGGCCACACUGGAACUGAGACGCGGGCCAGACUCCGACGGGAGGCAGCAGUAGGGAAUCUUCCGCAAUGGGCGAAAGCCUGACGGAGCAACGCCGCGUGAGUGAGGAAGGUCUUCGGAUCGUAAAACUCUGUUAUUAGGGAGAACAUAUGUGUAAGUAACUGUGCACAUCUUGACGGUACCUAAUCAGAAAGCCACGGCUAACUACGUG
rnacentral:rRNA from 1 species